GGGCACGAACUCAGGCAAAGCGUGGUGCUUAGCCGAGAUAAGAUCUUUGACCAACUGGGCAUGUUCAAGCACUCUGCAUACGAGUUGGGUUUCAGCAUCGCGACCCGGUCAUAAAUUUUAGCACGAAGGCCUUUGAGAAACUUCAUAAGUUUUUGGCUUUUGAGGGUGACCAUCAAAGGGGCAAACCUAGACAGUUAAAUAAAUCAGGCUGCAUACUGGGCUACAGACAAGCUUUUUUUAUGGAGGUCUUGAAAUUCCUCAUCUUUCUUUUACUAAACAUAAGCAGGGAUGAAGUUAUCAAAGAAAGAAUCCAUGAAAACUUCCCAAGUGGUAGGGGUAGGCAGAACUUCUUUCUUAAGUCACCACCAGUGUUCAGCUUCCCCGUUUAACAUGAAGGCUACAAAAGAGACCUUUUCUUCUUCGAUCAAGUCUACUACAAAGAAGAAUUUUUCUAUUUGUAGGAUCCAGCCUUUGGUUACUAAAGGAUCAGGGCAACCUUCAAAGUGUGGGGGUUAAGUUUUCUAAACUCUGCUAUAUUGUGGGAGAUAGACCGAUCUGUAUUUCAGAAUUCAGGGGAAGGGGGUGGAUAAGGAUUGGCUUGGUUUUUUUCCUACAGCUAUAGUUAAUCCUUGAAUGACUUGAAAAAUUUCUGUAAAUUUAGUCCUACUUGGAUGAUCUAGGGCUUUAGGUCGUUCAGUACGCUCUAUAGAUGGUCUUUCCCGUAUCAUUCCUACGAAAGAAAGGAAGACACGAGUUGGAGGUUUAAUUUUUGAAAAAGGACAUUUCUCUUCCCUAGAUACUCUAAAAAGGUUUAUUUAUCCAAGACCUCAGUGCAAGAGAUUUGUUCCGCAAAAUUCUGCUAUGAUACUACAUGUGACAUCCCAAGUGCCAAUUAAGGCAAAUGGAUAUCAGAUACAGAUUGAAUAACGAGUGCAUGAUUAUAUUUACACAGUAGAAUCAAACCUUAACAAAUCCUUUACAGAUAUAUAUAAUGCUCCAAAUACAUAUAUCACUGAGGCCAGAAGUGGCAAAAAAAUACAAAACAUAAAGGUCAUUUCUUUCACUAUGCUAUUGGAAUUCAUCAGAGUGCGAGAACAGUCAUGCACUUAGACUUGUGGAUCCACAGGAUCCUUAUAGACUUCCAAGAGUAGUCUGCCUGUGGUUCCUCAUUUUCUUCCUCAUCUAGGGGGAUCGAAAAAGUGAAUUCCAUAUGCUCAUUAAGGAAAACCAUAUUAAAUUAACGUCGUAAGAUUUUAAAGGUUUGUUAUUUUAUCUCACCGUUUAGUUUCCUUGUUUACCUAACUCAUCAUUAGUAAAGGAAACCAUUUAUUUGAAUAUCAAAAUAAUAUGUUAGCAUAGAAAAUCAAUUAAAUCAUAAAAUGCACAGAUAUUUUGUGUCAUACUUCGCGAAAUCGUUACAAACUUCUAUCUUUGAAGGAAGAUACAGAUUUCCAACUAUCCAAGUGGAGUGACCAGAUCGGAUACAGAUAUGGCAAUUUGCUCAGGCUUACUUCCGGGUGGCCAAACUAUGGUAUGAUUUAUGACCAUAGUCGUACCAACCAUAGUGGUCCUAAUAGAUAUUUAUAGUCACGACAUUAUUUAGCAACGAGUGACCCCUACAGAUAAUGCAAUACCACUCUCGUUAGAGGGUACACCGUCAUCCAUUGGAAGCGGUCUUCUUAUCUCAUUCUAGACUAGAUAGGAGAGGGAGAAACAGAUACCACAAAGGGUAAGGGGAACAGAUACCCCUUAGAAAUAAAAAGUCUAACGAGACACUUGAUGUGUCAAUACAGAUAUACUUUGGACUACACAGGCUUCAUUCCACUUUUCUCUU
rnacentral:lncRNA from 1 species